rnacentral:rRNA from 1 species
CAGUCGCCACGGGAAUACGAAGGGGGCUAGCGUUGUUCGGAUUUACUGGGCGUAAAGCGCACGUAGGCGGAUUCUUAAGUCAGAGGUGAAAUCUCAAGGCUCAACCUUGGAACUGCCUUUGAUACUGGGGAUCUUGAGUCCGGGAGAGGUGAGUGGAACUGCGAGUGUAGAGGUGAAAUUCGUAGAUAUUCGCAAGAACACCAGUGGCGAAGGCGGCUCACUGGCCCGGUACUGACGCUGAGGUGCGAAAGCGUGGGGAGCAAACAGGAUUAGAUACCCCAGUAGUCCCUGUCUCUUAUAC